GGCCUCCCAGUGCUUACCACAGGUUGUUUUCUUAGACUGGACUCUCUAAAAAGAGGAGGCAGAGCAGACCUUCCCCAUAUACAUUUUAGCUAAGGCCUCAUUCCUGGUCUGUAUUAUGAAUAGGGAGACACAG
ensembl:snoRNA